rnacentral:rRNA from 1 species
UACGUAGGGUGCAAGCGUUAAUCGGAAUUACUGGGCGUAAAGCGUGCGCAGGCGGUUUUGUAAGUCAGAUGUGAAAUCCCCGAGCUCAACUUGGGAACUGCGUUUGAAACUGCAAGGCUAGAAUAUGUCAGAGGGGGGUAGAAUUCCACGUGUAGCAGUGAAAUGCGUAGAGAUGUGGAGGAAUACCAAUGGCGAAGGCAGCCCCCUGGGAUAAUAUUGACGCUCAUGCACGAAAGCGUGGGGAGCGAACAGG